UACGGGAGGCAGCAGUGGGGAAUAUUGCACAAUGGGCGCAAGCCUGAUGCAGCCAUGCCGCGUGUAUGAAAAAGGCCUUCGGGUUGUAAAGUACUUUCAGUCGUGAGGAAGGUGUUAAGGUUAAUAACCUUAGCAAUUGACGUUAGCGACAGAAGAAGCACCGGCUAACUCCGUGCCAGCAGCCGCGGUAAUACGGAGGGUGCGAGCGUUAAUCGGAAUUACUGGGCGUAAAGGGCACGCAGGCGGUUAAUUAAGUUGGAUGUGAAAUCCCCGGGCUUAACCUGGGAAUGGCAUUCAAGACUGGUUAGCUAGAGUCUUGUAGAGGGGGUAGAAUUCCAUGUGUAGCGGUGAAAUGCGUAGAGAUGUGGAGGAAUACCGGUGGCGAAGGCGGCCCCUGGGACAAAGGACUGACGCUCAUGUGCGAAAGCGUGGGGAGCAAACG
rnacentral:rRNA from 1 species